rnacentral:rRNA from 1 species
UCCUACGGGAGGCAGCAGUGGGGAAUUUUGGACAAUGGGCGAAAGCCUGAUCCAGCCAUGCCGCGUGAGUGAAGAAGGCCUUCGGGUUGUAAAGCUCUUUUAGUCGGAAAGAAAGAGUUACGAUGAAUAGAUUGUGAUUUAUGACGGUACCGACAGAAAAAGCACCGGCUAACUACGUGCCAGCAGCCGCGGUAAUA